UACGUAGGGUCCGAGCGUUGUCCGGAGUUACUGGGCGUAAAGCGCGCGCAGGCGGUCCGCGAGGUGUCACGUGAAAGCCCCGGGCUCAACUCGGGAGGGUCGUGGCAAACCGGCGGACUUGAGGCCGGUAGAGGUGGGUGGAACUCCUGGUGGAGUGGUGAAAUGCGUAGAGAUCAGGAAGAACACCCGUGGCGAAGGCGGCCCACUGGGCCGGAACUGACGCUGAGGCGCGAAAGCCAGGGGAGCAAACGGG
rnacentral:rRNA from 1 species